rnacentral:misc_RNA from 1 species
AGGCACCAUCUCUAAAUUGUGUGUUCCUGAGAGUUUGACUGAGCAUUUACUUCCGUGUGAUCUGAAGGAUAAAGCUAAAGCUGAACAUGGUUCGCCCUCGGGUGAAACUGGUUCGUCAACGACAACGCAUUUUCAAACGUUCUUUGUUUCGAGUAUUUCUGGUACGGCCAGGCGCCUUCUUUCUGAGGGAUCGGCUUCACAGACUGGUUACUGUGCCAAAAAGAAUAAGGUGCCAUUGCUAUCACUUGAAGCAUUGCAUCAUCUACAUAUUUUUAUCUUCAUCCUAGCUAUCGUCCAUGUGACAUUUUGCGUUCUCACUGUAGUUUUUGGAGGAUUGAAGAUUCGUCAGUGGAAGCAUUGGGAGGAUUCUAUUGCAAAAGAGAAUUAUGAUACCGAACAAGUUCUAAAACCAAAAGUCACCCAUGUCCAUCAACAUGCUUUUAUCAAGGACCACUUUUUGGGCUUUGGUAAAGAUUCAGCUCUUCUUGGUUGGUUGCAUUCCUUCCUCAAGCAAUUUUAUGCUUCUGUAACAAAAUCAGAUUAUGCAACGUUACGGCUUGGUUUCAUUAUGACGCACUGCAGGGGAAACCCGAAGUUUAAUUUUCACAAGUACAUGAUACGUGCCCUUGAAGAUGACUUCAAGCAUGUUGUUGGUAUCAGUUGGUAUCUUUGGAUAUUCGUGGUUGUCUUCUUGUUCCUUAAUGUUAGUGGUUGGCAUACAUAUUUCUGGAU